rnacentral:lncRNA from 1 species
AAAUCAUGUUGCUUUCUACAGCCAGUAGUGUUAAAGCAGCAGUUGGGGCAAAUGAAACAGAGGACAGAGACAACAAAGAAGAAGAAAAAAAGAAAAUUAAAAUGAAGCAAGAAGAGCAUUGAAAUAACAUGAAUAUUGUUUUGACACCGACAAAACUGCGCACACAAUGAGAGUUUAUCUUUGCCCUUCCACUGAGACAAGACACAAAGUACCUCAUUAUCAGAUAACCCAUCCUGAACCAGUUUCUAGCCAUCAGGUGACAAGACAUUCUACAUAUGUGAAGGCCAUCAGACUGCAGGUUACUCUUUCUCAACACAAGAAUGGGGAUGGUAGACCCUUCCCUUACUGCAUCUAAAUUCUUCUUGUACAAGUUAAACAGGUAUCUCUCUGCACAUACGGGCAUAUUUCUCUUCCAUUCAUACAUGGAGCUCAAAAGCUUGUCUUGUUUGUAACAUUUUAGCAACCCAAUAAAGGUAUUGCCCAACUCA